rnacentral:lncRNA from 1 species
UAUAAUCUAGAAAUAAUCAUUAACCAUAUCUUAUAAUCAAUAAUCUAACAAAUGUAGAGUGAUUUGUGAUAAGAAAAGGGAGACACUCAUCAAACACCUGACUAAUAAAAUGGCUAUUUUAACAUUCUUAUCAAAGAUUGUAUAAAAACAGAACCUGACAACAAUAUAUUCUCCAUAUCAGGCUUUAGAAUAUGGAAAUUCUAAUAAAACUGCCAAACCUUUACCUUCCCGAAAAAUAUUAGGCUUGGUUGCAUUUGCUGGCUCCAGAGGUGAAAGAGAUCGAAUGCAAAGGGCCGACUAUAGCUGAAACUUCCCUUGGUCUGAGCUCUUUCUGCAAUGUCCUUCAUAUGCCAUCAAUCUUUCCUUCCCUGGAUGCAAAAUCAACUAUGGUACUGGCAUUUUGUGCACUAGCCCAUUCUUCCAUUUUUUGUGCAUCAGCCUGAAAUGUAAUACUUUAACCCUUAAUACGCGCAUCAACAAAAAGACCAUAACUGAUACAACUUGAACCAGUAAAAAAUACACGUUGAUAGUUUUUGUUCUCCUGCAAAUAAAUGAUAUGACAGAUAGAAUAAUGAGAUUCUCAAUCAACUGAUUACAAGUUAGUGGCUUGGUACAUCCCUAUCAAAAUGCACAUGAGAGCCUGUCAAUUUUUGUUUUCCCCUCUGGAGAAGAACAUUUUGUCCCUGCACUUCCAAAAUACUUGUCAUGUUCAUUAUUUUCAGCACCGACUCACUGGGAACCUUUAUUUUAUUUUUUU